rnacentral:rRNA from 1 species
GAUGAACGCUGGCGGCGUGCCUAAUACAUGCAAGUCGAGCGAACGGACGAGAAGCUUGCUUCUCUGAUGUUAGCGGCGGACGGGUGAGUAACACGUGGAUAACCUACCUAUAAGACUGGGAUAACUUCGGGAAACCGGAGCUAAUACCGGAUAAUAUUUUGAACCGCAUGGUUCAAAAGUGAAAGACGGUCUUGCUGUCACUUAUAGAUGGAUCCGCGCUGCAUUAGCUAGUUGGUAAGGUAACGGCUUACCAAGGCAACGAUGCAUAGCCGACCUGAGAGGGUGAUCGGCCACACUGGAACUGAGACACGGUCCAGACUCCUACGGGAGGCAGCAGUAGGGAAUCUUCCGCAAUGGGCGAAAGCCUGACGGAGCAACGCCGCGUGAGUGAUGAAGGUCUUCGGAUCGUAAAACUCUGUUAUUAGGGAAGAGCAUAUGUGUAAGUAACUGUGCACAUCUUGACGGUACCUAAUCAGAAAGCCACGGCUAACUACGUG